rnacentral:lncRNA from 10 species
GGUUGGCAGCCUGGAGUCUGGAGUGCAGGUGCCGGGCAGGCAGCACUGGGAGCGCUCGGCGACUUGGCUGGAGGCCGAAGGUGCCGCCCCUCGGGGACCAGAGCGUCUUUGCAAGCCCAUAGAAGAAACAGUGAAGAGUAAGAGGAAAAGGCUGCCAGAAGGGGAGUCUCACAACAGGAAGAAGUAACAGCUACGCAUAGAGGAAGGGAAGCUGUUCAAGAGCGGGCCCAGGAACACAACACAGAACCAUUCGUGGUUGGGGAACUCCAGAGUCCCACAUCACAGUUCAGCAUGUGCCUCAGGAGCUUCAGCAAGUCUUUCGUGGAAGGAGAGUCUGCCGGUGACGGGGGAAGCAGGCCAUCAGCCCGCCCAGCUUCAUCUCAGGCCGCUUCCAACACCGCCAAGCAAACUCCCUUGGCAAGAUCCAUGCAAGGCCGCGGCUGACCACCGGGAGGCAGCAGCCUACUCUGCAAGGCACUUUCUUUACCCGACCCCCACCCCCUUUUAACAGGUGGCAGGAAACCUGCUGGCCCAGCCAUCUGCCGCACCCACCCUUCACUCCCAGUCCCAUCUCCCCAUAGCACAGAUUUCCCUAUCAUGAGCCCUGACGUGACCUGGGUGUCCUCUUGCCUUCCUCUGCCCAAGGAAUUCCUACAGAGAUUCUUUCUCUAUCCUCCUUUGUACAUUUCCAAGGAAUUGUUUCCCCAGGGCCCCUCCCCUUGAAGAAAUUAGACAGGAAGCUGGAGUAGAUGGUUCCCUCUUUCCCACCUCUCACACUCCCAAGCUCUGGUUAACUCUCUGUGGGCCAGUGGCUAGAUUCCCCAACACAGAUGACAACUGAACAAUACACAUGCAGCGUAAGAAUGUUGUCGCUGCCACCAGCCACUUACAGAUACACCAUUGCUAAGGUCCACCCAACUGGACUGUUUCCCCCUCCCAUAGACUAAGCCCCAAAGGCCAAAAAGUAAAACCCGCUACCCCAAACCUGCCUGUAACUGUUUGACCAGAGGCCAGCUGUCCCAGGAUGCGGUUAAGACGUCUACUUUGCACAAGAGAACUGGCAAGAAAAACAUCUCCAGGAAGCGGUCAGACACAUGGCACAAAGGACCCCCCCCCUUUUCUUUUUCCUUCACCCUGAUCCAGUUCUAUGUCCUAUAAAACCUUGCUCUAGCCUAUAAGUGGGGCUGCCUUCUCUGCUUUUGUCAAGAGGUAGCCAGGCAGGACUGACAAUAAAUCAGCUUGCCUGAACUUGGGUCUAUUGGCCUCAUUCCUUUCUUGGCUGUCCUUCCAAUUAUCCCUUACAACCAUCUCCCACCCUCUGAAGGCACUGCACCCAAUACCCCGCCAUUCACAGUCUGGUCAGGGCUGUCCGUGCAGGACUUGUCAUGGCUGAGGACCAGCUAGCCUCAAGCCACUCUGAAGUCAGCUUGCUGUUUCCCCUGGAGCCUGGAAAUACAUCCCUCUUCAGGUAAACAAAAGCAGAAAAAGCCCAGUGAACCCCACUGUAACAAAGAAA